GACGAACGCUGGCGGCGUGCUUAACACAUGCAAGUCGAACGGAAAGGCCCAGCUUGCUGGGUGCUCGAGUGGCGAACGGGUGAGUAACGCGUGGGUGAUCUGCCCCUAACUUCGGGAUAAGCUUGGGAAACUGGGUCUAAUACCGGAUAGGACAAUCGUUUAGUGUCGGUUGUGGAAAGUUUUUUCGGUUAGGGAUGAGCCCGCGGCCUAUCAGCUUGUUGGUGGGGUAAUGGCCUACCAAGGCGUCGACGGGUAGCCGGCCUGAGAGGGUGGACGGCCACAUUGGGACUGAGAUACGGCCCAGACUCCUACGGGAGGCAGCAGUGGGGAAUAUUGCACAAUGGGCGCAAGCCUGAUGCAGCGACGCCGCGUGGGGGAUGACGGCCUUCGGGUUGUAAACCUCUUUCGACAGGGACGAAGCUUUGGUGACGGCACCUGUAUAAGAAGCACCGGCUAACUACGUG
rnacentral:rRNA from 1 species